rnacentral:rRNA from 1 species
GGGAUCAACUAUUGGAAACGCAUAGCUCAAUACCGCAUCAAGCAGUGAUUCAACACAUGUUCAGUUCAUUUCAAACAGGCAGCCAAUUGGCUUCACUAGUGCAGCAUGGACCUGCUUGUCAUUCAGCUCAGUUGGUGCAGGUAAAGGCGUCACCAAGGCGACGAUACAUCAGCCGACCUGAGAGGGUGCAUCGGCCACACUGGGACUGAGACACGGCCCAGACUCCUACAGGAGGCAGCAGUAGGGAAUCUUCGGCAAUGGACGGAAGUCUGACCGAGCAACGCCGCGUGAUGAAGAAGGUUUUCGGAUCGUAAAGCUCUGUUGUUAGAGAAGAACGUUGGUAGGAGUGGAAAAUCUACCAAGUGACGGUAACUAACCAGAAAGGGACGGCUAACUACGUGCCAGCAGCCGCGGUAAUACGUAGGUCCCGAGCGUUGUCCGGAUUUAUUGGGCGUAAAGCGAGCGCAGGCGGUUCUUUAAGUCUGAAGUUAAAGGCAGUGGCUUAACCAUUGUACGCUUUGGAAACUGGAGGACUUGAGUGCAGAAGGGGAGAGUGGAAUUCCAUGUGUAGCGGUGAAAUGCGUAGAUAUAUGGAGGAACACCGGUGGCGAAAGCGGCUCUCUGGUCUGUAACUGACGCUGAGGCUCGAAAGCGUGGGGAGCAAACAGGAUUAGAUACCCUGGUAGUCCACGCCGUAAACGAUGAGUGCUAGGUGUUAGGCCCUUUCCGGGGCUUAGUGCCGCAGCUAACGCAUUAAGCACUCCGCC